rnacentral:rRNA from 1 species
UACAGAGGGUGCGAGCGUUAAUCGGAAUUACUGGGCGUAAAGCGCGUGUAGGCGGCCAGGUAGGUCCGCUGUGAAAACCCGAGGCUCAACCUCGAGACGUCGGCGGAAACCAUUUGGCUAGAGUCCGGAAGAGGAGAGUGGAAUUCCCGGUGUAGCGGUGAAAUGCGCAGAUAUCGGGAAGAACACCGGUGGCGAAGGCGGCCCGCUGGGCUGUGGCUGACGCUGAGGCGCGACAGCGUGGGGAGCAAACAGG